AACCUGUUUGCCAAUUCAAGGUUGAAGGGAUUGACCACUUGUAGUAUCGGAAUAGUUAGGCAGCGGGAAUUGGACGGCGAUGGCUUCGGUGCAGAUGGGCUGCCUUCAGGGUUUCUUUACUCUGAAUUCUCCGGGUAGGCAGGGUUCCUAUGCCAAAACUUCUAUUCGUUCUUCUCUGUUCUCCUCCUCUUUUUUUUUCAGUGAAUCUCCCAGUGUAACUCCAAGUGUACUCCCCUACUGAAACUU
rnacentral:lncRNA from 1 species